GGGGUAAUAGCUCAGUGGUAGAGCACAUGCUUACCAUGCAUGAGGUCUUGGGUUCAAUCUCCAGUACCUCCA
rnacentral:tRNA from 1 species